CUGUCCCUAAAAGAGUUUUAGUUAUGAUGCCUUGGCGAUUUGUUAUUUUCUGCAAAUUUUUUUAUAUCCCAACCUAUCAUAGAUGCAGCACUAGUAAAAAGCAAGCAAUGCAGAAGCAUUUGGUGGAUGAUCUGGAGGCCAUCCUUCUGAAAGAAAUGUAGAAGAAUAGUUUGAGAUGCCUAAGUGUAUUCUUCAGUUUCUAGAAGGAUUUACUUAGACCUCAUGGAGAAAGAAAAUCUGCUUAAUAUGAAAGAAUUGUGGGAAAAACAUGACAAAAUAAAGUAAGCCUCAAUUUUUAGCAGUAUAUAUGUGGGAGGGAAGCACAAAAUACUCAAAAAUCUUGGCCUCCCACAUUCUGUAGAGGAGAAAUAUGGGGGUAAUAUUUGCCAAAAAGAGAUCUGGUUUUGGUUAAAGAAAUCUUAGACCUAAUGUGGAUUCUAGGGAUUAUCCAACAGAAGUAGCAUAAAGUGCAUCAGCUUUGAGUAUUAAUUGAAUUGUAUGUUUUCUCAGUAUCACUGAAAUGUGUAGUUCAAGAGAUUCUUUGGACUUCUCUUAGGUAGUUAAACUCAGGCUUCUGAAGUUAAACUUCUGAAAUUUUGGGGAAAAAACCCCCAAAGAAUUAUCUGGUUAUUUCACUUUCUUGUGAAGCCUAAAUUUUAUUUACUUCUUAAAAAUGUGUUACAUGAAAUAGCACAUGAGAAAUACUACUAAACACAUUCAUGAAAAAACCCAAAUCAUUACUCUGGGAAAAAUAUAAGAUGUAGAAUUGUGCUGCAGACUAGAUUCUCCUCAGAUUACUUUUACUGUCCUAAAAUGAGUGUUCAGUCAUCUUCUCUCAAUGAUUGAUGUUGAUUAACUACAGAGGAACCAAAACCAACCAGCUCGGACUGUAUACCUAACUUCAUGUCUGAUUUAGGGGAGACAAAUCUGCUCUGAGGUACUGUUCAUUUACUGUGCUGACUCCGUCUUUGGAGAUACUCUGGAGCUGUCUCUAGACAUGGUGCUGGGCAGCCUGCUCUAGGUCACCUUGUUUGAGCAGAAGGAUUGGAUGAGAUGACCUCCAGAGGUUCUUCUGAAUCUCAGCUGUUGUCUGAUUCUGUGACACCCAUUAAAAAAAAAAGACAUCGUAAGUAGAAAGUAGCAAUAUGUUAAUUUGUAAAGAGAAAGGUGACCUAAUAAAAUGAAUAAUGUGAUGUAGUUUUCCUACAAAUUUCUUUAGGCAGUACUAUUUCUGGCUUUCUCUGCUAAGCAAUCUUUGUGCUGUUGUUAUGCUUUUGAUUACUGGAAGUGGGGAUCCUCAGGAACUAACUGAAUAUAGGUCUGCUUAAAUUAGUCGGGUAAUGAAAAGGAAGGAAACUUAUGUGGCUGUCAGUGGUGACUGAUGCUUACCUUUAACUCAGUGAGCACCUCAUUCUGUUGAGGUUGCUCCUACCCUGAAAGGCAGUACUUUAGAGGAUGAGGUGUGUUUAAGGUACUUUCUUAGCUUGUUUCCCUUUCCUUUUUUAGGAAGAGAUGCCUUAUGAGGAAGCUUUCUGCAGGGCUCUUGCUAUUAUAGCGUUGUGCCUGCCUAAGUCCAAUGGGCCUGCUGAUGUUCUUGAUGUGGCUGUAUAACUAACUUCCCCAUAUUUGAUCUGCACCUCACGUCAUUUGAAGAAAUGGGAUGCCAAUACUUUUCUUUGUACAAAGGAAAAAUAAGAAAUAUAAAAUAACUGAAGUGGA